UGGCUCAAGGCCUCUGGCACAGCUUCAUUGGUGGAGCCUCACCGAAACUGCUCUCAGCCCUCUCGCGGCUGCCCUGAGUCAUGGAGACGCCGCGGCUGCUCUGCCAGGCCGGUCCCUGUGCAUGCUCCAGCGCGCCAGACAGGAGCCCAGGAAGUAAGCCAAUCCAAGGCCCAGGAUGUGGGCCUGGGUCACUGGAACUGACCCCUCAGGUGAGGGCAGGGCCAGCUCUCCUAGCCCAUGCUCUCAGGGCCAGCUCCCCACACCUAUGGUGGGGGUGGGGGCCGUCUCUCCUGAGUUGGAGGGGACAGUUCUCCUGCUGCAGUGUCCAGUGAGGGGCAGAGCCAGCUCCAGCGUUGGGUCAGCAUGGCCCUUGAGUUUUAACAUGCAUGGUACCAGGGUCAUGGCUAUCAUUCCAGAUACCAGCUACAGCAGGACCACAGACGCAGCCCAGGCCUGGAUAUCACCAUGGCCCCAGUGGUAGCACAGGCCGUCCAGAUCAGUAUGGCAUCAGUGGCAGCAAGGCCUUGGACACCAACAUGGUCUCAGCAUGUCUGCAUAGUGCCCAUGGGAGCCGGAAGAGGGCUUAGAGCUCUUGCCCCAGCCCUGCCCAUCUAUCAACUGGGGUGCUGUUGCCGGUGUGGCUGUGAUUUGCCACACCCCAACAGAGAGCUGAUGUUCCUCAGUCAACCUGAGACUGAAGAGACUGUAGGCGGAAAAUGGGGUCGAUGCUGAGCCAUCUCUUCAGCCCUGUUGGUGAGUGCGUGCAUGUGUACAUGUGCAUGCCUGCACGUGUGAGUGUGUGUGUGUGUGUGUGUGUGUGUACAUGUCCAUUCCUCCACAGCAUAAAUGUGAAGUUGGUUCUCUUCUUCUGCCUUUACAUGGCUUCUAAGACUGAACUCAUGUUGCUAGGCUUACACCCCUGGGUGCUGUGUGCCAACACGUGGGUGCUGGGAAUUGAACUCAGGACCUCUGGAAGAGCAGCCAGUGCUCUUAACCACUGAGCCAUCUCUCCAGCCCUUAAGAGGAUUUUUAAAGGCAGCCCAGCAUCAGUUUUAAAAUGAUUUUCUUGGUCCUUCACAUGUGGGGCUUUAUUUGGUCCUUUUGUUUCACAGCCCUAACACUGGGAAGUGAGGCAGGAGGAGGAUACGUAGUCCUAACAUGUGACUAAAGACACUCCUCAGUGCAGGGUGGAAACACCAACUAAAGAUCAGCUUUGGACUACAAACUGCUCAGAACAAUUUUGAGGAGGCCAGCUAAGAUGAUCCAGUGUCACAGACUAUUCUAGCCAGAACUUGAGAAAAUCCCUGCACGUUGCCAUUAUGUAGAGACUGGAUAACAAUUGAUAUAGUUAAGAUGGUGGUGCACGCCUUUAGUCCCAGCACUCAGGAGGCAGAGACAGGUGGAUCUCUGUGAAUUCAAGGCCAGCCUGGUCUAGUGAACAAUUGAUACAGCUACCUCUUCCAGGACUUGACAAUUAACCCAAAAAUUUAUUUUCAGGAUCCCCUAAAGAUGACGUUACCCACAGA